rnacentral:rRNA from 1 species
UCGCCUGUUUAUCAAAAACAUGGUUUCUUGAAAUUAUUUAAGAGAUCUGGCCUGCCCACUGAAUUUUUAAAUGGCCGCAGUAUUUUGACUGUGCAAAGGUAGCAUAAUCAUUAGUCUUUUAAUUGAAGGCUGGUAUGAAUGGUUGGAUGAAGUGAAUACUGUUUUAUUUAAAUUUUAAUUGAAUUUAGGAUUUGAGUAAAAAUACUUAAAUUUUGUUAAGGGACGAGAAGACCCUAUAGAGUUUAAUAAAUUAAUUAAUUAACUGAGUUAUUAAUUAAUUUUUGGUUAUUAAUAAAUUUAUUUGGUUGGGGUGAUUAAAAGAUAAAUUUAACUCUUUUUUAUUUUAAAUUUUAUAUUAAGUUUUUAGAUCCAUUAUUAAUGAUUAUAAGAUUAAAUUACCUUAGGGAUAACAGCAUAAUUUCUUUUGAGAGUUCAUAUCGAAAAAGAAGAUUGUGACCUCGAUGUUGGAUUAAGAUUAGUUUAGAGGUGUAGAUGUUCAUAAACUAGGUCUGUUCGACCUUUAAAAUCUUACAUGAUCUGAGUUCAAACCGGAGA